rnacentral:tRNA from 1 species
GCCUUCGCGGUGUAAUGGUCAGCACACUCGGCUCGUAUUCGAAAGGUCCGUGGUUCGAGUCUCGGCGAGGACA